CCCUGGGUGGCUCAGUCGGUUGAGCGUCCGACUUCGGCUCAGGUCAUGAUCUCACGGUUUGUGGGUUCGAGCCCCACAUCGGGCU
rnacentral:tRNA from 1 species